rnacentral:rRNA from 1 species
AUUGAACGCUGGCGGCAUGCUUUACACAUGCAAGUCGAACGGUAACAGGCCUUCUGGUGCUGACGAGUGGCGAACGGGUGAGUAAUGCAUCGGAACGUACCCAGAGGUGGGGGAUAACGCAGCGAAAGCUGUGCUAAUACCGCAUGUGAUCUGAGGAUGAAAGCGGGGGACCGAGCAGCAAUGUUUGGCCUCGCGCCUUUGGAGCGGCCGAUGUCGGAUUAGCUAGUUGGUGGGGUAAAGGCCUACCAAGGCGACGAUCCGUAGCUGGUCUGAGAGGACGACCAGCCACACUGGGACUGAGCCACGGCCCAGACUCCUACGGGAGGCAGCAGUGGGGAAUUUUGGACAAUGGGCGCAAGCCUGAUCCAGCAAUGCCGCGUGCGGGAAGAAGGCCUUCGGGUUGUAAACCGCUUUUGGCAGGAACGAAACGGUGUCCGCUAAUACCGGGCGCUAAUGACGGUACCUGCAGAAUAAGCACCGGCUAACUACGUG